GACGAACGCUGGCGGCGUGCCUAAUACAUGCAAGUCGAACGCAGUGGGGACGGGUGAGUAACACGUGGGUAACCUCCCAUCAGAGGGGAUAACACUUGGAAACAGGUGCUAAGCCGAUACUGAUGGAUGGACCCGCGGUGCAUUAGCUAGUUGGUGAGGUAACGGCUCACCAAGGCCACGAUGCAGAGGCGACCUGGGGUGGGGAUCGGCCACACUGGGACUGAGACACGGCCCAGACUCCCACGGGAGGCAGCAGUAGGGAAUCUUCGGCAAUGGACUAAAGUCUGACCGAGCAACGCCGCGUGAGUGAAGAAGGUUUUCGGAUCGUAAAACUCUGUUAAUCGGGACGCGGUACCGGAAUAGAAAGCCACGGCUAACUACGUGCCAGCCGCCGCGGUAAUAC
rnacentral:rRNA from 1 species